GGUAGUCCACGCCGUAAACGAUGUCGACUUGGAGGUUGUUCCCUUGAGGAGUGGCUUCCGGAGCUAACGCGUUAAGUCGACCGCCUGGGGAGUACGGCCGCAAGGUUAAAACUCAAAUGAAUUGACGGGGGCCCGCACAAGCGGUGGAGCAUGUGGUUUAAUUCGAUGCAACGCGAAGAACCUUACCUACUCUUGACAUCCAGAGAACUUAGCAGAGAUGCUUUGGUGCCUUCAGGAACUCUGAGACAGGUGCUGCAUGGCUGUCGUCAGCUCGUGUUGUGAAAUGUUGGGUUAAGUCCCGCAACGAGCGCAACCCUUAUCCUUUGUUGCCAGCGGUUAGGCCGGGAACUCAAAGGAGACUGCCAGUGAUAAACUGGAGGAAGGUGGGGAUGACGUCAAGUCAUCAUGGCCCUUACGAGUAGGGCUACACACGUGCUACAAUGGCGCAUACAAAGAGAAGCGACCUCGCGAGAGCAAGCGGACCUCAUAAAGUGCGUCGUAGUCCGGAUUGGAGUCUGCAACUCGACUCCAUGAAGUCGGAAUCGCUAGUAAUCGUAGAUCAGAAUGCUACGGUGAAUACGUUCCCGGGCCUUGUACACACCGCCCGUCACACCAUGGGAGUGGGUUGCAAAAGAAGUAGGUAGCUUAACCUUCGGGAGGGCGCUUACCACUUUGUGAUUCAUGACUGGGG
rnacentral:rRNA from 1 species